GCCGAGGUGGCAGAACGGCUAAUGCGCCGGUCUCGAAAACCGGUGUCCGAAAGGACUUGCAGGUUCGAAUCCUGCCCUCGGCG
rnacentral:tRNA from 1 species